GUCCACGCCCUAAACGAUGUCGACUAGUCGUUCGGAGCAGCAAUGCACUGAGUGACGUAGCUAACGCGUGAAGUCGACCGCCUGGGGAGUACGGCCGCAAGGUUAAAACUCAAAGGAAUUGACGGGGACCCGCACAAGCGGUGGAUGAUGUGGAUUAAUUCGAUGCAACGCGAAAAACCUUACCUACCCUUGACAUGUCUGGAACCCUGGUGAGAGCCGGGGGUGCCUUCGGGAGCCAGAACACAGGUGCUGCAUGGCUGUCGU
rnacentral:rRNA from 1 species